rnacentral:tRNA from 1 species
GGAGGAGUGUCAGAGUGGCCGAAUGAGCACGCUUGGAAAGCGUGUGUACGUGAAAACGUACCGUGGGUUCGAAUCCCACCUCCUCCG